rnacentral:ncRNA from 1 species
GAAAGCCGAAUACCGGAAAUCGGUCUGUUCGGUUUGAUGAGAAGGUGGAGGUUGAAAGACCUCUGCUUUACUCUAC